rnacentral:rRNA from 1 species
AGAGUUUGAUCCUGGCUCAGAACGAACGCUGGCGGCGUGCUUAAUACAUGCAAGUCGCGCGUGAAAGAGGAGCAAUCCUCGAGUAAAGCGGCAAACGGGUGAGUAACACGUAAGUAAUCUACCUCCAAAUCCGGGAUAACCUUGCCAACGCGGGGCUAAUACCGGAUGUGGUCCCAUGGUUCAUGAUCGUGGGAUUAAAGAUGACCUCUAUUUAUAAGUUAUCGCUUGGAGAUGAGCUUGCGGCCCAUUAGCUAGUUGGCGGGGUAAUGGCCCACCAAGGCUUUGAUGGGUAGCCGGCCUGAGAGGGUGUACGGCCACAUUGGGACUGAGAUACGGCCCAGACUCCUUCGGGAGGCAGCAGUAGGGAAUUUUGCGCAAUGGACGAAAGCCUGAUGCAGCAACGCCGCGUGAGUGAUGAAGGUCUUCGGAUUGUAAAGCUCUGUUGAGUGGGAAGAAAAGUUACAGGUCUAAUAUAUCUGUAGCCUGACGGUACCAUUUGAGGAAGCCCCGGCUAACUACGUGCCAGCAGCCGCGGUAAUACGUAGGGGGCGAGCGUUGUUCGGAAUUACUGGGCGUAAAGGGAGCGUAGGCGGGUCAGUAAGUUAGAAGUUUAAUGCACAGGCUUAACCUGUGACUUGCU